rnacentral:lncRNA from 1 species
GGGCCGCCGGGCCGGGGUCGCCGCCCGGGCUCGGUCAGUCGGUACCUUCAUGAAGGUCUCUACCGCGCCUUUGGCCGUGUCCAGAGCCAUAGAAUACCUGUUUCAGAGCUGAAGGGGACCUGAGCCCAUGAUAAUCCAUUACCUCGUGAGAAAGCGGAAAAACUGACUUCAGCUUGCCCAGAUGGCGCAGAGAAUGGGUUUCCCGUAACCCCGCCUGUGUCUUUCCUUCAGCCUCGUCCCAAAUGCCGUGGGAGGGAAGGCACUCUCUGUCAAGCUGCUGUCACCUUACCUGAAGUAAGGAGUCCACGCCUGCAUGUCCGAGGAAAACAGUUUUCUCAAACACAUUAGUUGAAAAACUGAAGACGCUGCCUAAAAUACAAGCUGAGUUAGAGACAGCCCUUGUAAGACUAGAAAAAGAAAUGGAAACUAAGUAACAUGAAUUAACAUAGUCCAGGGUCACAAAGCAACAUGGAACAAGAACCUGGAUCUGAAUUCAGAGGCAGAAUGCUGGAAUCUAAGCCAGAAUGAGGUUACUGCCUAGGCAAAGAAGAAGACAGCUCAUCACAGGCCUGAGAAUCAGGAGAGUCAAUGGUAUUAGUGCUUGUCCGGAAGCCAUCAUGCUUCAAAACCAAGAAGAGCUGAUUUUCCAGUUGGAGUCUAAAGGAAAGGCCUUGUGAGGACAUAACCAGGAAGAGAGUCCUCACCAGAACCUGACCAUACCUGCACCCUGAUCUCAAGCUUCCAGCUUCCAGAACCAUGAGAAAUCAAUGUUUGUUGUUUUAGCCACCCAGUCUACAGAAAUUUGUUAUAGCCACCCUAGCUGACUACC